GCCAGGGCUCUGCACGGGCCCGGGUGCAGCUAUUUACCCGAUUUCUUCUUCGAUCUCCGAGAUGUCUGCGAAGAUGAGGAAGACUACGAGCAGCGUGAGCGCAGCCAGCAUCCAGCUCCGGAACUGCAGCUGCAUGCUGCUGACCUCAAGAGUGGGGACCCCCACCCAGAAUUGAAAUUCCUGAAAACCCAAAAACCAUAUGUAUCAUUUACACAUCAACUAACCUCUCCACGCUUCUCGCCCCAGAUACGGAGUGUUUUCAUCUGAACUGCUUCUUGGGGGGUGAUAAAGACUUCUCUUGGCAAUCCUUUACACAGCACAAGCUGCCUCCAGGGCAAUACUGGUGACCACCGGCAACAAGAAGUUGGCAUCGUCCCAAUGAACUGGUGAGCAUGCUUGGCAAAAUACCAUUUCUAAAUGAAACUCCAGAUGGGAGAGUCUCCAAAGCCAUGGCAGCAUUCAACAGAAAGUGAACGUGCCCGGAUCCUGGCACAGCGCACUGGCCGGAAGAGAGUGGCCUGGGCCCCAAGUAGGCUCCUUGUGAAAUGUCCCAUUGGGAGUCCUCUUCUACAUCUGCCUACCCCACAUGGAGUCUUUGUGGUUGGUCAUCCUCUCUUCCCAGUUCCCCCAGUCUGGUUUGACAAAGUAGACUGGAAAACCACAGAAAGAUCAAGAGACAGUGAGCGUUUUUGGAUUAGGUAAAGCAAGUAAACCCCAAAGGCCAAUGGCUUCUUCAAAACAAGUUUGUUUCUCUCUCAUGUGCAAAUGCCCCCAGUAGGCAGCCUGGGCUGGUUUGGCCAUGGAGCUCCCUAAAGUCUUUAGGAUUCAGGUCCUUCCAGCUUUCCUGUGUGCCAUCCCUUUGAUGAGGCCCUUUCUCAUAGCUCAUCACCUCCAGAUUCCCAGAGGUAGAAUGGAGGAAGAGAUAAAAAGAAAAGAAAGUUCCGGAAGCCUAUGGCACAGGGCUUUGGCUCACUCCCCUUGGUCCAGAACACUGUCCUGCGCUACACCUCGCAGCAGGGGGCUCUGGCCUUCGGUGCGCUCAACUGAGAAGCCCAUUGUGGAAGAACAGGAGGGCAGAUGUGAGGGGCAACAGGCAGGCUCUGCCACAAUGGGGUUGGAAAAGACCACUGCAGGGUUUUUCUCUCUGCAUUAGCUCUGCCUUAAGAUGAUUGUGUCUUGGGCAGAAAUGCCGGGUACAAGACCUGUUCGUGCAGCCGAGUUUCAUACUGUCAUAGUUCUCUCUCUCUCUCCAUUUCUUUCUUUCUUAAGAUUUUAUUUAUUUAUUUGACAGACAGAGAUCACAAGUAGGCAGAGAGGCAGGCGCAGGGU